AUGGGAUGUAUCAGUGCACUGCCAGGAGCAAUCAUUCUUUCAUGCCUUUCUCCGAAGAGACAUUGUUCCUCAUAAUGAAAGGGAAAAAUGGGAACUGAAGACUAAUAAGCCUUUAUGAAAAGAUAUUUUUUUUAAAGCUUCUAAGACAGGUCCAUAUUCUCAAUAACAAUACCUGGUUUUGAUGAGAAGUGUACUCUUAAAACAGGAGGAAGACUUGAUCCAAAGUUGUCUGCAGUAUCUUCUAGAAGGUUGGAGCUGUGUAUGUGAACCAGCUCAAGGAACUGCACCUUAGUUUCUCCUCUCCUGGUAAUGCAAGGAAAUAAAUUUCUUCCCUGUCACCCAUCCUGUUGGCUGGUACAAAAGGACACAUG